UGUCAUCAUGCUUCCCCAGUUCAGGAAUUCAGUUCCUAUGUCGGCAGUCACAGAGUUUCCUAGCAACAAGGGCUUUUCCAAGUGAGGAGAUAAGGGCCUGCAUUGUAUUAGGGUCGGGGAAUCGAUGUACUAUUCCAUUGAGCAUCUCUCCAAGGCUCUACCGUGUGCUGUCAGGAGAUGCCGAAGAAGGAGGCGGCUCCUUUGGGAGAUGCUAUCUGCUGAGAAACCUGCCCUGUCUUCGAGAUCCCCGGGAGCAUGGAGGGUAGCCCAGGCUAUCCUAACUCUUCUCCAGCGGCUAUAAUGGAUAUUUGUGGUGUUCAACGAGAACUACAGCCCCCAGGAUCCACACUUUCCCGUGGCCCCUCCCACACUGACUCUGGGAUUGGAUGCUUAGUUUUCUUUAGCCAAUGGGAUGUCAGCCAGCCUGAAACUCGCAGGCCCUUGAAGCUUCACAGGCAUUCGAUUUCGUAUUUCAUCGAUUCCCCCCGAGUCCCUGAGGAAUAAACGGAAUAAGAGGCAGAGUCCACAUGGCAGAAGAGACUGGUCAGGGGCCAGUGGAUGAGAGUGUGGCGAUUCAAAUGGAUUCGGGAGCCUUCGGUUCCUGUCCACUGUCUGGGCUCGCCCUGGGCUCCACACUGUGGGCUCAACCCUGAGAUUUCCUUCUCCUUCGUGACGAGGCUUUGGCCAUGUGAAACUGUGACCCUAAUAUCAUUUCUUCUCCUCCCUCUUCCUCCGCUUCCUCCUCUUCCUCCUCUUCCUCCUCUUCCUCCUCUUCCUCCUCCUCUUUCUCCUCCAUUUCCUCCUCCUCCUUAAAUGAGUCUUUGUGGUUGGGUACAUUUCUUUUUAUUAAAUAAAUAAACAGUAACAAUAAAUAAAUGAACAAACAAAUAA